rnacentral:rRNA from 1 species
AUUGAACGCUGGCGGCAGGCCUAACACAUGCAAGUCGAGCGAGAGGCGGACGGGUGAGUAAUGUCUGGGAAACUGCCUGAUGGAGGGGGAUAACUACUGGAGACGGUGGCUAAUACCGCAUACCCUCAGAUGUGCCCAGAUGGGAUUAGCUAGUAGGGGGGGUAACGGCUCACCUAGGCGACGAUCCCUCGCUGGGCUGAGAGGAUGAUCCGCCACACUGGGACUGAGACACGGCCCAGACUCCUACGGGAGGCAGCAGUGGGGAAUUUUGGACAAUGGGCGCAAGCCUGAUCCAGCCAUGCCGCGUGUAUGAAGAAGGCCUUCGGGUUGUAAAGGACUUUUGUCAGGGAAGCGGUACCUGAAGAAUAAGCACCGGCUAACUACGUGCCAGCCGCCGCGGUAAUAC